CUAACAUGUGCGCGAGUCAUUGGGAUAUAUAAACCUAAAGGCGCAAUGAAAGUGAAGGUCGGCCUUUGCGUCGACCGAGGGAGGAUGGGCCGUGUUACGAUUUACGGCUUUGCACUCCCGGGGCGUCUCGUUCUCAUUGCGAGAAGAGGCGCACCCAGAGCGUACAUGUUGGGACCCGAAAGAUGGUGAACUAUGCCUGGUCAGGACGAAGUCAGGGGAAACCCUGAUGGAGGUUCGUAGCGAUUCUGACGUGCAAAUCGAUCAUCGGAACUGGGUAUAGGGGCGAAAGACUAAUCGAACCAUCUAGUAGCUGG
rnacentral:ncRNA from 1 species